rnacentral:snRNA from 1 species
CACUCUUGUUUCUCUUCAAUUCGUAUAAAUCUUUCGCCUUUUACUAAAGAGUUCCGUGGAGAGGAACAACAAGAGUUAAACCCAAUUUUUGAUACCCUGCUGGUUAGUGGGGU